CCAACCCAAUGUGAACGUUACCAAACUGUUGCCUCGGCGGGAUCUCUGCCCCGGGUGCGUCGCAGCCCCGGACCAAGGCGCCCGCCGGAGGACCAACCAAAACUCUUUUUGUAUACCCCCUCGCGGGUUUUUUAUAAUCUGAGCCUUCUCGGCGCCUCUCGUAGGCGUUUCGAAAAUGAAUCAAAACUUUCAACAACGGAUCUCUUGGUUCUGGCAUCGAUGAAGAACGCAGCGAAAUGCGAUAAGUAAUGUGAAUUGCAGAAUUCAGUGAAUCAUCGAAUCUUUGAACGCACAUUGCGCCCGCCAGUAUUCUGGCGGGCAUGCCUGUCCGAGCGUCAUUUCAACCCUCGAACCCCUCCGGGGGGUCGGCGUUGGGGAUCGGCCCUGCCUCUUGGCGGUGGCCGUCUCCGAAAUACAGUGGCGGUCUCGCCGCAGCCUCUCCUGCGCAGUAGUUUGCACACUCGCAUCGGGAGCGCGGCGCGUCCACAGCCGUUAAACACCCAACUUCUGAAAUGUUGACCUCGGAUCAGGUAGGAAUACCCGCUGAACUUAAGCAUAUCAA
rnacentral:rRNA from 1 species